UACAGAGGUCUCAAGCGUUGUUCGGAUUCAUUGGGCGUAAAGGGUGCGUAGGCGGCGCGGUAAGUCGGGUGUGAAAUCUCGGGGCUUAACUCCGAAACUGCAUUCGAUACUGCCGUGCUUGAGGACUGGAGAGGAGACUGGAAUUUACGGUGUAGCGGUGAAAUGCGUAGAUAUCGGGAGGAACACCAGUGGCGAAGGCGGCUUCCUGGACCAGCACUGACGCUGAUGCGCGAAAGCUAGGGGAGCAAACAGG
rnacentral:rRNA from 1 species